GUCACAAGCAGUUGCUCUGUCGUGCAUUAUAAUACAAACGCGUUUAACUUGCAUUUGAUUUGCGGUCUUUUUUCCGUCAGAAUGACUAAAAGUUGCUGUGUUGCGGGUUGUCACACAAGAAGGAGUUCAGAGCCGCAUUUGAAGUUCUUCGUUCUUCCACGUGAGAAGAAAAGGAGAAACAAAUGGCUGAAAGCAAUUAAUCGAGGAACAGUAAAAGAAGACGGUUCCGUGGACUAUUUUCGCCUGUGGGAACCUAAAUCCAAGCACAGUUACAUUUGCAGCCGACAUUUUAUUACUGGGAUUUCCUCAACAAACUAGUAGAAAAAGUUGUGUGAUCUUCAUAUUGAUGGGGCGAAGAAGGAAGCAGAUGAAUCAUCAUAACGGAGUACCUGGCCAAUCAGAGGAAAGUUUGCAUUUAAGAAAGGCAAAUUUACUGUCUAGAUACUGCGUUUUGAUACUAUAUGUGGGUUCAGGGACUAGUAGGUGAGAGUUCUGACUAGUUCAACUCUCCUAUGCAUGUCUGUUUGGUAUGGUAAGUUAAUCAGAACCCAUCGAUGCUGUUGU